CGGAGAGCGGGCACCAGCCGCUGGGAGAGUUGCGUGCGAGAGGCGGAGACAGGGAGACACGUGACUGUGCUGGAGGACACAUGUGGCUGAAGAAAAGUGAUGCUCCCCGACCUCUCGGCAAAUGGUGAACGUAUUUCAACCAUUUAACUGGCAAUGCAAGCGCCGGAAGGAGGAGAGUCUAGUGGCUCAGAGUUUGGCGGCGCCGAUUACGCCGUGUUCAUCGUUACGCUGGUGACUGCCGUGCUCAUUGGGGUGUAUACUGCAGUGAGGAAUGGCCGACGAAUCACCGUUGCCGAGUACAUGUUGGGAAGCAACAGUUUGCAUCCCAUCGCGGUCUUGCUCUCGCUGUUGGGAGGCUGGAUCUCCGCGGUUUCAAUCCUGGGUAAUGGGAUGGAAACCUACUUCUACGGCAUGCAGAUCAGCACCUCCCUGAUCGGCGUUGUUCCCGCCGCCAUAGCCAUGCAUAACAUUAUCCUUCCUGUCCUCUAUGAUCUCAAACUAUAUUCAGUCAGUGAG